rnacentral:tRNA from 1 species
GCCCGCGUGGCUCAGUCGUUUGAGCGCCCGACUUCAGCUCAGGUCGUGGUCUUGCGGUUUGUGGGUUCGAGCCUCCCUCGGGCU